UACAGAGGUCUCAAGCGUUGUUCGGAUUCAUUGGGCGUAAAGGGUGUGUAGGUGGCGCGCUAAGUCGGGUGUGAAAUUUCGGAGCUUAACUCCGAAACUGCAUUCGAUACUGGCGUGCUUGAGGACUGGAGAGGAAACUGGAAUUCAUGGUGUAGCAGUGAAAUGCGUAGAGAUCAUGAGGAAGACCAGUGGCGAAGGCGGGUCUCUGGACAGUUCCUGACACUGAGACACGAAGGCUAGGGGAGCAAACGGG
rnacentral:rRNA from 1 species